rnacentral:lncRNA from 1 species
GGACAGCGGUAAGGUGAAUGGGUAAGGUCUUGCUAGUAUAUGCAUCACCUCUUACGGGUGACAUUGCGUGGACCGUUCCCAAUUGAGAUCACCGUUCAAGCAAUUGAUCGAGGAAUGAAACUGUUCCAUAGCUGCGAAAAUCAGGUAUUUCGGUGGCGACGUACACGGUACACUGUAGACAGACACCCCACAGCAGAGGAAGAGGAUUGGACGGCCACGAACCGGAGACGAAUUUAACGGCCGGAUGUUGUGCCGUAAGAGGUGCCGUUCCAGAACACGUCCCGUUCUGGAACAGUUUCCUAUAUAUAUAUAAU